GCAAUACUUCCACAUAUCAUAGGCUGUCAACAAGAUUCAUCAAAUGCAUGACAUUGAUACUGAAUGUCAAGGCAGAGUCUGAACAUUGUGCAGCAAUAGUUGUACUGUACAGAUUGUUCCUGAUGUGCAGUAUCUUGAAGAAUUAUCUGGAUAGGUGUGAGUAAUAAGAACUAAAUUUGUCUCCAAGGAGCUCCGAGGUCAGCCAAUCACCUCAUCAGACCGUAUCCAUGGAUGAGACACUGUUUGCAAAAUCAGGCCAUACAGGGUCC
rnacentral:lncRNA from 1 species